rnacentral:rRNA from 1 species
UGAAGCGGCAACAGCUCAAAUUUGAAAGCUGGCCUUCUGGUCCGCGUUGUAAUUUGCAGAGGAUGCUUUUGGCGCGGUGCCUUCCGAGUUCCCUGGAACGGGACGCCUUAGAGGGUGAGAGCCCCGUACGGUUGGACACCAAGCCUCUGUAAAGCUCCUUCGACGAGUCGAGUAGUUUGGGAAUGCUGCUCUAAAUGGGAGGUAAAUUUCUUCUAAAGCUAAAUACCGGCCAGAGACCGAUAGCGCACAAGUAGAGUGAUCGAAAGAUGAAAAGCACUUUGAAAAGAGGGUUAAACAGCACGUGAAAUUGUUGAAAGGGAAGCGUUUACGACCAGACUUUUUCCAGGCGGAUCAUCCGGUGUUCUCACCGGUGCACUUCGCCUGGUCUAGGCCAGCAUCGGUUUCGGUAGGGGGAUAAAAGCCUGGGGAAAGUAGCUCUCUCGGGAGUGUUAUAGCCCCUUGCAUAAUACCCCUACGGGGACCGAGGAUCGCGCUCUGCAAGGAUGCUGGCGUAAUGGUCGUUAACGACCCGUCUUGAAACMCGGACCAAGGAGUCGAACAUUUGUGCGAGUGUUUGGGUGUUAAACCCUCACGCGUAAUGAAAGUGAACGGAGGUGAGAGCCCUUUCGGGGGUGCAUCAUCGACCGAUCCUGAUGUCUUCGGAUGGAUUUGAGUAGGAGCAUAACUGUUCGGACCCGAAAGAUGGUGAACUAUGCGUGGAUAGGGUGAAGCCAGAGGAAACUCUGGUGGAGGCUCGCAGCGGUUCUGACGUGCAAAUCGAUCGUCAAAUCUGCGC